rnacentral:rRNA from 1 species
GACGAACGCUGGCGGCGUGCUUAACACAUGCAAGUCGAACGGAAAGGCCCGGCUUUUGUGGGUUGCUCGAUUGGCGAACGGGGGAGUAACACGUGAGUAACCUGCCCUUGACUUUGGGAUAACUUCAGGAAACUGGGGCUAAUACCGGAUAGGAGCUCCUGCUGCAUGGUGGGGGUUGGAAAGUUUCGGCGGUUGGGGAUGGACUCGCGGCUUAUCAGCUUGUUGGUGGGGUAGUGGCUUACCAAGGCUUUGACGGGUAGCCGGCCUGAGAGGGUGACCGGCCACAUUGGGACUGAGGUACGGACCAGUAUCCAACGGGAGGCAGCAGUGGGGAAUCUUACACAAUGGGCGGAAGCCUGAUGUAGCAACGCCGCGUGCGGGAUGACCGCCUUCGGGUUGUAAACAGCUUUGGAAUGUGACGAAGCGUGAGUGACGGUAAUGGGUAAAGAAGCACCGGCUAACUACGUG